rnacentral:rRNA from 1 species
UACGGAGGGUGCAAGCAUUAAUCGGAUUUAUUGGGCGUAAAGGGGGCGUAGGUGGGAGAACAAGUCAGACGUGAAAUUCCGGGGCUCAACCUCGGAGCUGCGUCUGAAACUGUUUUUCUAGAGGGUAGGCGGAGAAAACGGAAUUCCACAAGUAGCAGUGAAAUGCGUAGAUAUGUGGAAGAACACCAGUGGCGAAGGCGGCUAACUGGUCCGGUACUGACGCUGAGGUACGAAAGCGUGGGGAGCAAACAGG